rnacentral:rRNA from 1 species
CAUCUGCCUGAAGAAGAGAAUAAUCCCGGGAAACUGGGGGUAAUGCUCUAUAGUCCGGGAGGACUGGAAUGUUCUCCGGAUGAAAGAUCCGUCGCUUCAGGAUGAGUCUGCGGCCGAUUAAGUAGUUGUUGGGGUAAAAGCCCAACAAGCCUGUAAUCGGUACGGGUUGUGGGAGCAAGAGCCCGGAGAUGGAUUUCUGAGACACGAAUCCAGGCCCUACGGGGCGCAGCAGGCGCGAAAACUUUACAAUGCGGGCAACCGUGAUAAGGAAACCCCGAGUGCCAGCACAGGCUGGCUGUCCACCAGUGUAAACAACUGGUGAAGAAAGGGCCGGGCAAGACCGGUGCCAGCCGCCGCGGUAAUACCGGCGGCUCGAGUGGUGGCCGCUUUUACUGGGCUUAAAGGGUCCGUAGCUUGAUCCAUGGGUCCCUUGAGAAAUCCAUCAGCUUAACUGCUGGGCGUUCAGGGGAAACUUGUGGUUCUAGGGACCGGGAGAGGUAAGAGGUACUGCCGGGGUAGGAGUGAAAUCCUGUAAUCCCGGUGGGACGACCUAUAGCGAAGGCAUCUUACCAGAACGGCUCCGACAGUGAGGGACGAAAGCUGGGGGAGCAAACCGGAUUAGAUACCCGGGUAGUCCCAGCUGUAAACGAUGCGCGUUAGGUGUGUCAGUGACCACGUGUCACUGAUGUGCCGAAGGGAAACCGUGAAACGCGCCGCCUGGGGAGUACGGUCGCAAGGCUGAAACUUAA